rnacentral:rRNA from 1 species
AGUGAACGCUGGCGGUAGGCCUAACACAUGCAAGUCGAACGGCAGCACAGUAAGAGCUUGCUCUUACGGGUGGCGAGUGGCGGACGGAUGAGGAAUACAUCGGAAUCUACUUUUUCGUGGGGGAUAACGUAGGGAAACUUACGCUAAUACCGCAUACGACCUACGGGUGAAAGCAGGGGAUCUUCGUACCUUGCGCGAAUGAAUGAGCCGAUGUCGGAUUAGCUAGUUGGCGGGGUAAAGGCCCACCAAGGCGACGAUCCGUAGCUGGUCUGAGAGGAUGAUCAGCCACACUGGAACUGAGACACGGUCCAGACUCCUACGGGAGGCAGCAGUGGGGAAUAUUGGACAAUGGGCGCAAGCCUGAUCCAGCCAUACCGCGUGGGUGAAGAAGGCCUUCGGGUUGUAAAGCCCUUUUGUUGGGAAAGAAAAGCAGCAGGUUAAUACCCCGCUGUUCUGACGGUACCCAAAGAAUAAGCACCGGCUAACUUCGUG